CCGAUGCUACAACCGCUCAGAACAGGUCGAUAAGUCAACCUCGUUGACACCUGAAUGGCGAGUCUUAGUCUAACG
rfam:Sediminibacillus halophilus strain CGMCC 1.6199 genome assembly, contig: Ga0079860_107